AUGCACUAGGAUUGGCCAAGGUAUACUCAGACCUGAAUGCGGUCUAUGAGGAUUCUAGUACCUGCUAAGGGAUUAAUAUAAUUCUUUGAAUUGAAGGUAGAGGCUACUAAUGAAAGAAUUGUGUCCUGCAAGCCAAUCGCAUUUGAUAUGUGAUAGGAUCUUUUUUGUAAUUACUCCCAACUCAUGUAUGAUAUUUAUUAUUAAUCAAUAAUAAAGAGGUAUUUUGUUGAUUCAUUAUUUGCUAUGUCUUAAUAAUUUUUAAGAUUAUGAUGAACCCCAUAGAUUAGAGCAAUAAUUUUAUAGACAUGAAGAGUUCAUAUCACUGAGACCUAAAACUCUAAAAUCUUAAUCUAAAAUAAUCCUAGUCGUUAGAUCAUUGUGUCAGG
rnacentral:lncRNA from 1 species